CUUUCCCUGCCUGGUUCGCCAAGGCCAAUAGCUCCUUGAACCGAUGCGAAAGCAUGCGGAGCGGUCUUUGCUACGUGGGCGUGAGCGUUUCGAAGUUUCACAGUAUCGGCUUCUGGCUUGAUACUCCCUGUGCGUCUUAAUGCACCCGAAGCGUAACUGCUGCUCCACCUUGAACCUUAGGGUUCAGGAUGAGGGCCUAGCGGCUAAGGUGGGGAAUCU
rnacentral:other from 1 species